rnacentral:lncRNA from 1 species
AAAUGUUUCUCGUUUCUCGUUUUUUAUAUAGAUAAGACCGUUGAUUUUUCCGUUUGAAUGUUUUUACAUUAGUCAUUUUUGGAUCCCUUUAUAGCUUGCUUUUCGUUGUAAGUCAAAACUCCGUGUUGAAGACCGUACAUUUGUUCGUUGACCUUUAAUGAUUACUUUUACAAAGUGUGACUUGGAUGAAGAGUUCCAUUGGCACUCAUAUCACAUCUACUUAUAUCUAUGUAUACAUAUUUUGGUUAAGCUUAAUUGUGUUUAUUUUUGUAUACUCUGAUCACAUAAAUUGACAAGACUGACA